UACGGAGGGGGCUAGCGUUGUUCGGAAUUACUGGGCGUAAAGCGCACGUAGGCGGCUUUGCAAGUUAGAGGUGAAAGCCCGGGGCUCAACUCCGGAAUUGCCUUUAAAACUGCAUCGCUAGAAUUGUGGAGAGGUAAGUGGAAUUCCGAGUGUAGAGGUGAAAUUCGUAGAUAUUCGGAAGAAUACCAGUGGCGAAGGCGACUUACUGGACACAUAUUGACGCUGAGGUGCGAAAGCGUGGGGAGCAAACAGG
rnacentral:rRNA from 1 species